rnacentral:rRNA from 1 species
CAUACCACCCUGAACGUGCCCAAUCUCGUCUGAUCUCGGAAGCUAAGCAGGGUCGGGCCUGGUUAGUAUUUGGAUGGGAGAAAUAAAAUCAUCCCUUUAAGAAAAUUCUGGCU